rnacentral:rRNA from 1 species
UGGGGAAUAUUGCACAAUGGGGGAAACCCUGAUGCAGCAACGCCGCGUGAAGGAAGACGGUUUUCGGAUUGUAAACUUCUUUUCUUAGUGAAGAAGCAAGUGACGGUAGCUAAGGAAUAAGCAUCGGCUAACUACGUGCCAGCAGCCGCGGUAAUACGUAGGAUGCGAGCGUUAUCCGGAAUUACUGGGUGUAAAGGGAGCGCAGGCGGGACUGCAAGUUGGAUGUGAAAUACCGCAGCUUAACUGCGGAGCUGCAUCCAAAACUGUAGUUCUUGAGUGGAGUAGAGGCAAGCGGAAUUCCGAGUGUAGCGGUGAAAUGCGUAGAUAUUCGGAGGAACACCAGUGGCGAAGGCGGCUUGCUGGACGACAACUGACGCUGAGGCGCGAAAGCGUGGGGAGCAAACAGGAUUAGAUACC